AAACUGAGGGCAGAACUUUGAUUCAUCCAAGUGUUGUUGAUUCUUCAAGAACACAGGAUUCAAGAAUGAGGGGCGCAUGGAGGCUUGCCGAAGGAGGCUUGCAUGGAAAGCUGCCAAAGCCAGGCAAUGUAUGGCUGGGUUGGAUUCCCUACAUCGAGGCCCUGAAAGGUCCCUGUCCCAUCCCCUAAAAUACGCGUGAGGCAGGAGAACCAAGGAAGGCGUGGAUCCUGCCUGACUGCCUAUGGGAAUUGCUGGGAACUUCCGGCUGCAGGCGCCGGCUUGCAGCUCACUCAGGCCGUAGUCCCUUUCGUCCUGGUCACUCUCAUGCUUCCUCCACCGGCAGCACACAUGCUGGAAGAUCAUGGUCAUGUGACUGAAGAUGAUGAGCGGUGGGGGCAGAACCGGCCUCUCGUGGAAAGUCAUGAUGAGCUGGUACCUCUGAAAUUUCCAUACUUGGUUGGAUAUCGACUUGACCUCAAAAAAUGUAUUGCUGAAACAGACCGGAGAGUCACAUGACAAACAAGUAUUGACUUUUCGAAGUAUUGGCUCCCUCUGCCUGCUGCCCAUCCAUCCUCCCAUAUGCCUUAAGGAGUGGCCACUCACUUGAAGACGGCAAUAAGGAGGUUGACCAGAAGGAUGUUCGCCACCAAGAGGUAGCAGGCCAUGAUGGCCGGGACAAUCCAUGCUCCUGUCUUGCAUGGGGGCAGCUGGAUUGUCUUGCCAUCCUCUCGGGUCUCAUUCUGUCCACAGGGAGCUAGAGGAAGUGACACAGGUAAAAAAUGAGAAACCAUGGCUAUUUGAUUUAAGUUAAAAAGG
rnacentral:lncRNA from 1 species